AUUAUGAUCUGAGCAUCUGCUGACUUGACUUGGCUACCUUCAAUCAUGUCAUAUUGAAGAUCAGGCAAUCCAUGGGGCAGACUUUUUAUCCUUAUUUGACAGAUAGAGAAGAUGUCAUGGCCCUGUAAGUCAAGAGAACAGGAUGGCCAAAGGCAAGAAGAAAAAGACACUGGAAAGGGCCCCUUCCUCCUUCAGAGAGCCUCGUUCUUACACAAGGGCCAAGAAACAGGACAUCUAAGGACUUGGAAGCCCCAGGCACGUGACCCCCGGCCUCUCUGUUCUCCAGCUAAGGAACACUUUAUGGCCUUCACAUUUAUUUAUGUAUUUCCUGGACCUACUUUGUACUAGGCCAAGGGAAGUGAGCUGAAUAAGACCCAGCGGGGUUGAGAGACAUAAAAAUGGCUUAUUGAAAUUCAAUACUCCAAGGGCUGGAAGAGAUGGAUGAGUAGCGAGCCGGAGGAGCACAAAGGAAGGAGUCCCGCUGUCUGCCUAGGGAAUGCUUGAGGAAAUAAGAAUAGCCCACAUUUAUUAAGCACACAGUACAAGCAAGCAGUCUAUUAAAUGCCUUACAUGAUGUAUCUCAUUUAAUCCUCAUGUGGAAGGGAAAGGAACCACAUGUGUCUAUUGAGAAGUGACUGUUCUAAGCACUGUGUUAAAUGCUUUGCAGAAAUGAUUCUGUCUUCUUCUCUUGAUAACUGUGGCAUAUACAUAUCAU
rnacentral:lncRNA from 1 species